CAGCAGCCACAGGCUUCAGUGUGCCUGGAAAGGGUGUCACUGGAACACCAGAAUCCGACGGUGGGGUGGGCCACUUGGACCAGCCGUCCUGUCUUCCCUGGGAAGACGAACCCAAGGGUGGAGAGCCCUCAAUCGGAUCACGACUCCACCCCUGGAAGAUCCCUACCCCCAUUCUGCCAGAGGACCCUCGAGACCCGAAGUCAAGAGGAUUUUCUGGACCGGAGACUCCAAGAGAUGAACCGGUG
rnacentral:lncRNA from 1 species